rnacentral:rRNA from 1 species
UGGGGAAUUUUGCACAAUGGGGGAAACCCUGAUGCAGCGACGCCGCGUGAUUUAGAAGGCCUUCGGGUUGUAAAAAUCUUUUUUACGGGAUGAAAAUGACAGUACCGUAAGAAUAAGGUCCGGCUAAAUACGUGCCAGCAGCCGCGGUAAUACGUAUGGACCGAGCGUUGUCCGGAAUCAUUGGGCGUAAAGGGUACGUAGGCGGCCUAGUAAGUUAGAAGUGAAAUAAUAUAGCUCAACUAUAUAAAGCUUUUAAAACUGCUAGGCUUGAGAGAUGGAAGGGAAAGUGGAAUUCCUAGUGUAGAGAUGAAAUGCGCAGAUAUUAGGAAGAAUACCGGUGGCGAAGGCGACUUUCUGGUCAUCAUCUGACGCUGAGGUACGAAAGCGUGGGUAGCAAACAGG